GUAACACCCGAAGCCGGUGGAGUAACCUUUUAGGAGCUAGCCGUCGAAGGUGGGACAAAUGAUUGGGGUGAAGUCGUAACAAGGUAGCCGUAUCGGAAGGUGCGGCUGGAUCACCUCCUUUCUAAGGAUAUAUUCGGAACAUCUUCUUCAGAAGAUGCGGAAUAACGUGACAUAUUGC
rnacentral:rRNA from 1 species